rnacentral:misc_RNA from 1 species
AAAAAAAAAAAAAAAAAAUCAAUUCUAUGAAUUUGUUAUAACUAAAAUCAAAUUUUAUCAAAAUUGAUGAAAUUUAAAAAUAUUAUUUUUGGAUUAAAAUAUUCUUAUAAAAAGAUUUCCAAUUAAGAAAAUGGAAACUACAAACUAACAAGUAUAUAAGAUAUUUUAUAUAUUUUUUAAUUUUUUAAUAUUAAGCUUAUUAUGCACUUAGUAAUUACACUAUUUAUGUUAUUAUAUAAAUCUCCUAUGAUAUAAAACAUGUGAAUUUAGUUUAUAUUUAUUACUAUAUUGUUAGUUGGUUUAAUUGUGUUAGUUGUUAUAAAUUUAUUGUAUAAGAUUUUUUUGAAUUUUGUAGAAAAUUAUAAUCUUUUAAUUUUUCUUUUGAGAGUAGUUUAGAAAAUGAGGGCAAAUGAAUUUUAGUCCUGUAAUUAUAUCAAACAUGAAAUAUAUGGAAUUCAAUUGAAUUAUGCAUUUUUAAGUUGUGUCAUGCUAAAUAGUGGAAUUCAUUUCAAAUGAAUUAUAGUUAGAAUUCAUUUCAAAUGAAUUCCAAAACUUGUGGCAAAAUUGAACCUUACACUAUGUACAAGCUAAUGCUUGAUAGGAAAUUUAUAUCACUAGAAUGAAAUAGAUAUGCUAGAUAUGAUUACGAAUACAUUCAUUUAGUUGGGAAGAAAACAAAACUGCUAAGGAAGUCCUUACAGUUACAGUAAACUCAAAUGAAGCAUCGAGCUAUCUUUCCAAUAGGGUACCCAGUGGAUUGUUUAUGGUUGAUUUUAGAACAACCGUACAUGUACAAGACAUUUUUACUUAAAAGGAAUUUUUUGCGCAAAAUAUUGAUAUGGAUAGCAUUCCUUCUAGGACAUGAUGGUGUUGUAGCUGCAUAAUUGGCAUUAAGAGAUUUUAGAGAUUGAAUGAGGAAAUCAGGGGUAUUGAUGUCUGGCAGCAAUCCUUCCGUAAAAGCACAUUGUGUUGGACUGGAAAUUCAAAUUUAGAUCUAGCUAAAAGAAAAAACCCACUUGCAAUUUUUUUUUUUUUUCACUCCUAGAGAAUUGUUAUAUUCUCAGUUCAAUUGGUUGAUCCCUGAUCAUGUUUAAAACUUUUUUUUUUUUGUUGCCUUCAUUCCACCUUGUCAUUUCCAUCAACAGCUCAUAAAUUUGUCAGUAUUGACUCUCAAUUUUGCAGCUAUUCUCAGCAUUUUUUUUUUUGGUAAUUAAAAUAAUGCAGUUAUGCAGAUUUACUUCAUCUGCAAAAAGUAUUAUAUCAUCCGUAAGGCAUAAUUUGAAAAACCCACAAUUCUUGUGGAAAAGUUUGUUGCUAUAAUUAUUUGGUACCCCAGACUCUAGAAAAAUCCUUCUGAAUGAUAACUGGUCGGGCAUAAUGGUUACCAAAGUAGUUUCCACCUCUUUUGCAGCCAGAUUGCAGACACGCUUUGCCUUUUAUGGUAGCUCCUUCUAGAAUCGAAUGAUUCUGAGUAAUAGUGUGAAAGAAUUCUAGGCACUUAAUUGCUGAUUUAUCAGACACUGUUGAACAUUGCCUGUUCUAGGUAAUUGUUUUGAAUUCUUUUUGCAGAUUAAACGAGGAAAUGAAGGGUAUUGAUAGCUUAGCUGCACAACUAAAAGUCCUGAGGAGAAAUGUGGAUGCGCUGGACACAGCUGUGAACAGGCUUCUCCGUUUUCCAUGAUGCAGAGCUGCUCAACUGAUUAGUUGUCAUUUGGGACUUCUAAUACAACUUCACUUGUAUCCAGUGCUACUUUUGUUUGAGAAGUUUCAAGCUGCCUGUUAAUAACGUAGUUUUUUUAGAACUCAGGCUGAACUUCUGAACAUAUCGCUGAACUAUCUCCACAGCCGCUCCAAAUAUAGGUUCAAGAACAACUGUUUUGUACCAUAGGAUUUAAAGCAUGCACUUUUUUUUCUGCCCAGUGAUUGUAUUGGCAUUCUGGAGUUGGCCUUUUCAAUAGUUGUAGAAAAAUUGAAGGUAACACACCUGGUAUCAUUGAUUACUAAAAGCUGCAUUAACCUAUAUUGACAAUCAUGUACGAAAAUAGCGAAAUCUAUGCAAUGUUGGAUUUUUGCAGUGACUGCAGUUCCCUCUCCGGCAACUUACGCACUUUACUUCAGGUUUACGUUUUCUGGGUUGUUGAGGGUACUGGAUGUUUGCAGUGACUCCAUGUUUCAAACAUUUUUUCUAGCUGGACUGGGCUUUG